CAGAUGGCAUCGUCAUUCGCCAUUUUGAUUACAUAUUUUGUUCUUCCAAACGGAAUCACAUGCAUGAUCGGAAUUAUAGUUUUGCAUUCAUAUAGCGUUUUAAGUAGAACAUGCCUUUUUGCUGGGAAAUUUUAAAUAAUGACACUUUUAAAUCUGAUUGUAAUGUUUGCGUUUCGGAUCUUUCAAUAGCUCAUUUUUUUGAAUCGAGUUCCUAAAUUGUUUAUGAUUUAAAAAUGCUAUAAAUAAGAAAUUUGAAAUCAAUUUUAUUUAAAUUGUGGUGAAGUUAACAUUUGUUCACUUUCUGAAGAUGGAGAGUAAAAUUCCUGAAUCAUCUACUCGUGGACGUCGCCAACAUUUAGUUGAAAACGUCAAUACUAAAACUUUUACUCCAAGAGAAUAUCAGGCAUAAAUAUAUAUGUUCAUAAAGUGAAUUAUUUCUACUGAAUUUUUGUUACAAGAAAAUAUUUGAUAAAUUUAAAUUAUUAGCUACUACUUAACUAUUAUGUCAAAGAGAAUGGCAUCUAAAGACAUUUAAAAUGAUAAUGGAAUCAAAAGUUGAAAGUAUAUUGAUUAUAUAAAUUUGAUGUGAUGUCAUAUGAGAUGAAUUUACUACAACAUUGAUUUGUAUUUUUUUAAAUAAAGAUAUUCAGCUAUAUUUUUUAAACCUUAAUGAUAGUUUCAUGUAAUCCAGAUGGAAACCAAUUAUGAUGAAAUUGAAUUGAUAUUAAA